UGGCUGCUUAUGUAUCCAAGAAAAACACAAAGACUUUUUUUUUCUUUUCCAACUGUUGUUGUUACCACUUGGGUACAGGAAGGCUCUCGCGAUAAACAAAUGUGCUACAGAAUCCAGAAUAUUUCAAACAUAGGAAUUAAUAACACCCAGCAAAACACUAAGACCCAAAUGCACUCCCAAGGUGGACUCCAGUAUUUCACAGCGUGGUUCUUGUGCUCCAAAUGAAGCUCACACGCUAAGCCCCCUCCAUCUGGAAACAGAAACUGUGGGUCACAGGCGUUUCCACAGUUAUAUUGUCCAAGGGGCACUAUUUCUUCUUGAGAGCUCUCUUUCCUUCGCCCUUCUUUGGUUUUUCCUUUCCACGGAGCUUUUUCAAUCGCCUCAUCUCCUCUUUGAAGUCUUGAUGCUCAUCUCUGUAGAGACCAAGAAAACGGAGUUUCUUCAUGAGGGCAUAGUAAGUGUUGUGAGGAGGAUACCAGUCGUACACCUCUUUCCUUCUGGCUAUGGGCUGCUCACUGAAUAACUUUACAACUUUCAUGGAUUUGGAGUCAGUUGGCCUGACAACUUCGCCAAAUAUCUGAGCACUCAGACGGGCCAUUCGAAGGGCAUAACUGGAAACGUUGGACAUUUCCCAAAGAUGAGUGGGCACACAUAGACAGUUGGACCUUCCAGCGGGCAGAGCGGGCCGGAAAGCGGAACUCAGGGCGCUCGUCACUGCGCAUGCGUGGUGCUCUUCCCGCCCCGGCGGGCGGCGCGUGACUUCUCCAGCUUUCCCGGCCGAUGAUUACGUUGUUUAAACAUAACGAAUCCCGCAAUACUUAUUCCAUAUAAACUAGAAUAACUAUAAUCUGUCAUAUAAAAUGACAGAUUUUAUGUAAAAUAUGUUUUAGAAACUUCAGUGAGACACUUCUGCUGCCUGUGUGAGGCUUUGCUCAAGACAGGUCAAGCAGAUGGAGGGAGCUGAUCCUUCCCCUCUCCUCUGCCUGACUGCAGGGAACGUGCUUUAGCGGGGGCUUGGUCUACAUGAGCUCCAGAGGGCCCUUCCAAUCCACAGUGAUUCUGUGAUUGACUAUAAUCAUUAUUUAUUUGUUUACAUAAUUACAAAGGAGAAGUGUACCGCUGCUAGUCCCACCGAGGGGGCGGCCUCUUGCAGGGCGGCUGUGGGUCCUGGUCACUGUUGGCACUCCUCUUAGGGGGCCGCCGGGCCCUCUCAGGCGAGUGGCCGGGAGCGGAGGGGCUGCUGCCCUGGGCAGAGGGACCUGCUGCUGCCGCCUGCUCCAUCUCCUCGUGCGGCCGCUCCGCUUCCCUCGCCGUGUGUGCAGCGGGGACGUGACUGGGACCCGCACGAAUGUCAGCCCCUGCUGUGCCGGGCUGCUCCUCUCUGCUGGGGCUCGAAGUGCUGCCAAAGAGUCCCGGCCUUGAUGCGAGGGUCACCUGUGGGGAGGCUGCGGGGCCAGGGGCGGCCACCCGGCUGUCCUCCUGUCCCCUGGCUGCAGGGCCCUCCUCCUGCACCCCGGGCAUGUGGGCGCCCUGCAGACCCAGCAGUCUGUGGGCCUCCUCGCUGCAUCGGCGCACGACGGUGUGAAUGAGCCUCUGGAUGAAAGUCUCCGUUUCAUCCUCCAGCGCGGGCCACAUCAGCUCUAUCAGCUCCUCUCUGUCCAGCCCGAUGUCGCACAGAGCAUC
rnacentral:lncRNA from 1 species